GCUCGUUUUGCCUUCUCUGUUGCUUGCUUUAUCCUGAAAAAGAAAAAUUUAUUAAACAAACGAAAUUUAAAAAUUAAAAAACCAAAAUUAAUCAAAGAGAUUAAAUAUUAAUGUGCAAAAUUACAAAAUCAAAAUUAAACAAAGAGGUUAAAUAUUAAUGUGCAAAAUUGUAAAAUUAAAAUAAUGAGGCAAAAACAAAUUAAAUUGAAUAUAGAAAAUAUAAAUUGGUUUAGGUGCAAUGGACAAUAAAU